UCCACCUACAGCCAGAGGAUCACAGAAUGACUUCAGUUGUGGUGGGUUUAUUCCCAGGUAAUAAAUGACUUCUAUUAAAGCACCAGAUUGACUACUUUUAACUAUGGACUUAUUGCACACAAAUGCUAUUAAAAGAUGAAAAGGAGCAAGUGAAGCUGGCCUUUGUUCCGGCUGUAGCAGUGUUGAUGAUAGAUUGAGGGAGAGAGCAGCUUGACAAGGCUUGCUGUGUUAAAGCAGAAAAUCCUUCAAGAUGAAUGUUAAUAGCACCCUCGGGUCAUAUGCAAAUAGGAAGUUCUUCUUCCCAUCGUUUAAUGCUCAUUUUCAGGAUGUUGCCUUUUUUCUGUGCAGGGAUGCACAUUGUUUGACCUUAAUGGUUUUAAGAGUCCACAUUUGUGGACAGUGCUUUUAACAGCCUCUCAGCCAGUAAAUGUAAUCCAGGGAUGGCUUUAAAAUCAGUGACGUAACAUGACAUGUAAAGUCCAGAUGUGGUCCUCUCUCCUCCCUAAUAGGACAAAUGCACUUUAUUUCACCACAUAUGCAUUUAGUGUCUAUGGACAGUGUGUCUGUGUAUUUCAUACUAUGUGUGUACACAUUGGUCAGACCUAUAGUGCUUUAUAAUAAUAUCCUGUCAUCCUCAGUAUCUUCUCUAUUCAGGAGUUGCAGGAGACUCUGUCCACUGAGAGCAGAGUCCACAGAGCUCGAAUAAAAUAUGAACUGCCAGAAGACUGCUGCCUAUGAUAAGAAGUCAUUAUGGAUUCAAUGCAGUCUUCAGUAAUAGGGCUGUAUUGAAGGCAUUCUGUACAGCAUUUUAUGAAAACAAUUUGGCACCUCAGAAGAUGCGACACUGGCAAACACUUCUUCAAACCCAAAAUCCUCCCAGUGACUUGUGUAGGAUGUGAUCUGAAUUCACACCGUCAUUAUUUUGGUCUCAGGAUUGAGCAGCGCGUUGGGACAAAGUUUAAUUUAGACCCUCUUUUGAUGAGAAAGUUGUGGGAGUCAUUAUAAAUAAACAAGUUUUCUGAUAUGAGGAAAUGACUUUUAGUUUAUGUUUUGCUUUGUUAAUUGACUAGAAAUGUUGAACAAAUUCAAGCUUUUAACGCGACGUGUUCCUUUUUCCAACGUGAUUGGUCAGAAUAAUUCAUGGUUUUGUAUGCAAAGCCAAACCUCUCAUUGUUAAACUUUCAGUCACUAGAGAGCAGAUAUUAAUUAUAGAUACACUGUGUUUCCUGAUUAUUGUGUUUACUUAAAGGGAUUUCCAUUAAGUAAAACACUGAACAAAACAGUGGCAUCACUGAUGCAACACUGCUGUGCUGUAGUUACCAGUGUUCAUCUUUAAUAAGGCGGUAACGCUUUAUUGCAGCUUCUUUUUUCUAAGUUAGUUAAUUUUUUUUCCAAGUGCAUUUUCGAUAGCCGGCUGUCAUUUCUAACAAUCUCCAGUAAACGAGGCGCACUUCAUGAACCCGGCCGUCUCCGUUAAACUGGAGAUGACUCAUCUUUUGCAGUGACUCACUCAUCAAAGAUAUUUUCAUUUUCCCUUGUGUUCAGAAUCUCAAAAGGUCUUUAACAACUUAAUACCAGCUAAUGCUUAGAGAAUUAUAAAAAAUGUUUUAAGGAAGUUCUCUGGAUAAUGCAGUGGUGACAUUUGCUCAUGUGGCGUUUCUCCAUCCUUCCAGGUGACUCGCUUUCCUGCCUGCUGCUUUCGCUGACUGGUUGGGAGCCUGGGACAGAGCUGCUGCUGCCGCCGCCGCCUGCUCCGUGGACACACCGUGUGCUCGCAUUAAAACCUCAUUACAGACCAAGCGUGGCCCUGCAUUUAAAACACUCGUUCAGGAUGGCGGCCAGUUUCUUGGUGAUGACGUACUGGCGCUGAGCGGCGACAGCCGGGUUCGGAUCCCUCCAGUCUAUGGAGAGCCGGUGGAGCCACAUCUCACCUUGCUGCAGGUGGGGCAGCUUCAGGCUGGGAUUGAAACAGUGGACCUCGCACCCUGACCUGGCGAGGAAGCGCUCCAGGGAGCGGUCGUCAAUCCCCAGCCUGCAGAGGAGGACGAAGGCACUGAAACACUGGGCUUUGCAGUCAACAAGAGGGGCUGAAGGUGUGAGCUGAAGACGGCACAGCAGCAGAUGUCUCUGUAGAAGAGGGCAGUGUUGGCUUUCCACAACCCCCCCCCCCCCACCACCACCACCACC